CCUACGGGUGGCAGCAGUGAGGAAUAUUGGUCAAUGGGCGCGAGCCUGAACCAGCCAAGUAGCGUGAAGGAUGACUGCCCUACGGGUUGUAAACUUCUUUUAUAAAGGAAUAAAGUGAGGCACGUGUGCCUUUUUGUCUGUACUUUAUGAAUAAGGAUCGGCUAACUCCGUUCCAGCAGCCGCGGUAAUACGGAGGAUGCGAGCGUUAUCCGGAGUUAUUGGGUUUAAAGGGAGCGGAGAUGGGUUGUUAAGGCAGAUGUGAAAGUUUGGGGCUCAACCGUAAAAUUGCAAUUGAUACUGGAAGUCGUGAGUACAGUUGAGGUAGGCGGAAUUCGUGGUGUAGCGGUGAAAUGCUUAGAUAUAACGAAGAACUCCGAUUGCGAAGGCAGCUUACUAGACUGCCACUGACAUUGAUGCACGAAAGUGUGGGUAUCAAACAGGAUUAGAUACCCGGGUAGUC
rnacentral:rRNA from 1 species